UCCUCUGUAAUUCAGUUGGUUAGAGCACUGCACCGGAAUCACAGGGCCGCAGGUUCGAUUCCUGCCAGAGGGC
rnacentral:tRNA from 1 species